AUUUAAAUGGUUUAACGAGGAAAACAAGCUGCAGGGAUCAGGAGAGACGCUUACAAGGAAAACCGGCGAUGUGGUAAACACCAACUUCUUUUGCAAUGUUUCAAACUCCAUCAGCUCUGAGAUCAGUGACCUUGCUGUACAAAAGUGCCCAAAACCCUCUUUUCCUAAAGAAUUAUUUGGAAUUAGCAUCUGGGUUUUUAUAGGAGGCGGAGCAGGUCUUCUUAUUUUGGUGAUCGUCACUGCCACAGUUUGUUGUGUCCGGGCCAGACGAAAGAGACGCAUAUGAUAAACGAUGGCAGGUCAGAGACCUUUGUUUGCAGUGGACGAAUCAAGAACAGCAACAGCAUCACCUUCAGCAGAACCACUUGACAAAACCACUAUAAACAACAUGUUCAGCAGAGUCCUAGAGCCAUACUUCUAUGCAGCCUGUGGUCUGAAGACAGACAACAGGAAACAGGAUACGACAUAAACACCAUUCAAUAUGAGUGCUGAGGUGACGUGAUGUUCGCAGGACGCCCACAGAGUUUCAUUUUGAUGUUUGUCAGGUUCAUUGCGAAUGUACAAAGAAAAUUAUAGAUUACAGGAAUUUAACCCUAAAUAAGUGGGUCAUUUAACGAUCAUUCGGUGAUUAGAUCAGAAAUGGUAACCUUAUUAUGAUUGUCAGUGAUAUGUAAAACUAAUGUAUUUGAUUACAACAUCUCCUGAUGUGUAGUUUUGUAAGCAGACCUUCACAAAGAAAUAUUGUUUAUGCUAUAUGUGUUAAUGCUUUUGUUUAGGUCUUUCAUUUUGGAGGAAAUAAGCUUCAGUCUUUUUUGCUAGGCAGGUUCGUGCUGUAUAUUGUUAAUGAGAGCGACAAUUCAGGAUUUUAUUAGUAUCUGUUGUGCAUUUUUCUUUGUUCUGAUUUGGAGAUUUUCAUGUUUGAAUCACGCGCUGGACAAGAAAUUAACCUUGAAAUUAAAGCAAAAUGAUAAAAAUAUUUUUUCUCAAAGAAAAAACACGAUUCCCUCCCUGGGUUGAUGGCAUGGUGCGUCUAAAAGGAUCCUUAAAGAUAACAAGUCUGAGGAAAAAUGACUUGAUUAAACUUCAUCAUUGUGGUUUUCAGUGAAUACAGAGCUGUAGAAAAGAAUUAAGGAUUAAAAAUUAAGAACAGAAGUGUGUGUUUUGGUUAAACUAAGAGCAGAAUAGAUUUAAUGUGGUCAUGUGAAUAUGAAUAUUUCUCUUAGUAUUCCUCUUUAUGCCUCACCAAAAAUAAAAUUAAUGAGUCUAUUUACUUGGACACUUUCAGCUGAAUGUUUUAAAUAUAUUAUACUGAUAUGUAUAUGGCCAUGUUUUUUAUCAAUUUUUAUAAUGUUCUUAAUAUAUUUACAAAAAUAAAAUGUGCUGAUGCAUCACAA